rnacentral:rRNA from 1 species
AUUGAACGCUAGCGGGAGGCUUAACACAUGCAAGUCGAGGGGUAGGGAAGCAAUUCCUGAGACCGGCGGACGGGUGCGUAACGCGUAUGCAACCUGCCUUAUACGGGGGGAUAGCCCAUGGAAACGUGGAUUAACACCCCAUAGGACUACGGGAUCGCAUGAUUUUGUGAUUAAAACUGAGGUGGUAUAAGAUGGGCAUGCGUCUGAUUAGGUAGUUGGUAGGGUAAUGGCCUACCAAGCCGACGAUCAGUAGGGGUUCUGAGAGGAUUACCCCCCACACUGGUACUGAGACACGGACCAGACUCCUACGGGAGGCAGCAGUGAGGAAUAUUGGUCAAUGGCCGGAAGGUUGAACCAGCCAUCCCGCGUGCAGGAUGACGGCCCUAUGGGUUGUAAACUGCUUUUGUACCUGAAGAAUAGGCCCAACGAGUUGGGAUUUGCCGGUAAGGUAUGAAUAAGCAUCGGCUAACUCCGUGCCAGCCGCCGCCGUAA